GGACCUCAGAUCAGGCAAGACCACCCGCUGAGUUUAAGCAUAUCACUAAGCGGAGGAAAAGAAACUAACAAGGAUUUCCUUAGUAACGGCGAGCGAAC
rnacentral:rRNA from 1 species